UAGCCUUUUGGGCUGAGUGUAAGAGGCUAAAACGGCCAGCUGACAUGACCUUCCAAAGGAAAGCAAAAUUUGUGCCAUUCGAGCCUCCGAUUGAUCACCUCUACAUCCACCCAGUAGAUGUUGCAGUAUGUUAUAACAACAAAGAUAUCCAAUACAUUUCCAACUUUAAAAAUUCUAAAGUUGUCCACAGACGUGCACGGAUAAUGAAAGUCUUGUACAUCCAGGGGACGGCAGAGGUAUCCAGGGGCUCAGUACGCAUACCAAUCCUGGAACAGACUCUCUAUCUAACAGUGUGAAGCUUUCGCUCGGACUGUGAAUAUCUCGAUAACACACGUGUUUAUAUGCAUAGACGUUUUCAUCGCGUAUCGUAUUCUUAAACGCAAACACAAUUCUUAGUUCAGAUUGAAUCGCAAAGCAAGGAUUCGCGAAAGCCACGGACCAUCGCUAGACUAUUUUAUUGCCUUCGCUCAGAUCGAACUGUUGAAAAUGGAUUUGGACAAGACGCGUACCUCUAACCCCUUCAUUUGACGAGACAUGAUACCAAUCCCACAAGCACUGGAUGACAGCAUCCUUCAGGAAUCUCUUUACGACUGAUGCCAUGUGACGACGGGGGUACAUCAUGAGGCAAGAUGACACAAUGGAUGUGGAACCCUCGGCCCCUGAACGAUUGUCGCUAUGGGAGUCAUUAGCAACAGACUUCCUCUGGUGUAGUAUUGUAUAUUCGCUACCUGUAGGCCUCUGCAGAAGGAUACGUUGUAUUUUAUCGAAAUAUCUGAUUGAAAGGUGGUUUCAUUCCAAAUCUCAAUAUCAUCCGAUGGCAAAAAGCCUACUUCCAUUUUGUGGCCGUGACAAAAUGUCUGAACACACUUGGAACGUCUUUAAAAGACUUUCCAUCAGUCAUCGUCGGUCACUCCUCCUAGAUGAUUGUUGAUUAAGAACCAGAACCAGAUCCAAAUAAGUCAAGGUUCUGAUGUACCAGGUCAAAAUUUACUAUCGAGCUGUUAAAAGUUACUUCAUUUUUCUCCGAAAUCACCAAAUUGAUCAGAUAUUUCAAUUUUCCCAUCGAAUGAGACAUGGGGUCCACGUGAUUCUGGUUGGUUCGACCCCAGCCAACCAGAACAUGUGUUGUCUUUGAUGGAACCGUAGGCCUUAUGAACUUUCUCGAUCCAUUCAGUACCACGGAUGCCACCUGCGUUUAUUCCAAUCAGCUUCCGAUACCUGAUAGUGCCGGUCUCCAUUUGGGACAGAUAUGAAAUUGGCAAACUCUCGCCUCCAUUUUAUAAAAGUAUCUUAAAUUUCCUUAAACACGGUAAUUAUCCGGGUGCCUUUCAUUCUUGGUUUCAUCAAUGAUAUGAUAACCAAAGGUUAACCCCCAAGACCAAAACAAAUGCAAAAGAAUCGGGCUAAUUCAUUUCCAAAUUUUGAGAUUUCGUUGAAAUAUUUUGUUGAUUGAAAUUUUUCCAAAAUAUUCCAAAUUGAUGCUGGUUCCUGACCUUGCGGUCAAGUGGAAGAGGAGCUCAGUCUUUUCAUGAUAAUUAGUCCAGAAAGAUUCGUCUUGUUUCUUUCUGUGAGUUAUAAAGAUAACAACUGCCCCAUCAAGAAGUUUCCUGUGGUACAGAAUGGGUCAAGCAAGCUGUCGCCAACAUCAACGUCAAUGUCUGACGUUUUAUGUAUUAAUUUGUUAUGUUUGUAUAAUGAUACAAUAUGUGAAAUUUACAUAUAAAAGCCAUAAUACAUGUAAAGGUGAAUUCAAAAAGUUACUUCUAUUGUUAAACUCGUCCAAAGCAACCGCUUUUGUCAUGCAAAUGAGAAGACUGAUCUGAACGCCUGCUCUAGAGGGGCCCCUUUUGUCAUGCAAAUGAGAUCACAGCACAGUCCUGUUGAUCAUGACGAAAUUGGUUCUUUUGUUAUUUAAAUAACCCACUAAGCGAUGUCGUGCUGUUUCGGAUCAAUGAGGUCAAGGUUUGUGACCUGAAUACACCACAGCAGUUCACCUUGCUUGCAUUUACAAUGGUUGUCGCUGCAUGCGACUCAGUUUUUGAUCAGGAAAAACAUAAAUUAUGUAGAUAUUCUAGUGGAAAAUGGUUUCCCAAACAAAAUGAACAUAAACAACCGGACUGUGCGAGACGGCAUGUGUCCCAAAAGUGUUGCAUGUAUCAAUGGCUCUUUGCAUUAUUUUAGAAAUUUUGAAUUUCACACUGUUUAUUGAGUUGUUCCUCGGAGUUGUCUUUUGUCUCUAUCAAACUGGCUUUGCAGGCAAGUUCCUCAUAAAGCCAAAUGUCGUUCCAAAUGAUGGGUUGCGGGUUUCCCCUGCCUUGUACCUACAUUCUAAAUUGCCCUCAUACUCUUUGCUCAGUUAUAGAAGUGUGAGGCGCCGUCCACUCAAAAAUGUAAAUAGUUUUUGUUCAGAAUAUGCUUGCAUAUUAUCGCUGUUUUGGAGAAUGAAUUGCCCUGCGGUGUCAUUGUUUUGAUAUUG